CCAUUUCACAUGCAUAAUGCAUCUCUUAAUAAUUUUCAAUCCCACUCACUAUUUCUUGUCCUUACAAUCUAAUCCUGGCUUAAAUCCAACCCAUGUUGUAGCCACACUUUUGUAGACAAUAGCAGUACCUCACCACCCUAUUUUAGAUUUGUUUCCAUAUGAUCAAUACACAGAGUAGAAGCCCCAAAUUUAAUCCCUAGUCAUUAUUUCUGACAGCAGAUAAUUGAUCAGAGGUCAAACAAGUGCACAUAAUUAAAUCAUAAGUAAUAUGUGGUGGCUUAAGGCAAGGCUUUAAAACAUAACCAAACUGGUGGUAGGGCAAAUCACUGUACAUUUGAUUUCAUUUGGUAUUUGGUCACUACUUUUAAAACAUCGAUUGCCAAUUUAGGUUUCCUGAAAAAUGGUUCAAAAUGAUUAUAAGAAGAUUUACUGCUGCCUGUAAAUAGGAAGAAAAUAUAAUAAAGCUCUAAUAUAUUGGUUACUUGUCUCAAGAUUAUAUUUCUUGAGAUAAAGUGACAUUACAGACAUUUAUAAUUUCUACGUUGGCUCUGGAAUACUGAGAAAAAAACAUUAGCUUCGAAACAUAAACGAGUAUUUUUUUGUCUACGUACUAUGACGUUUUAAUGAAAAUCUGUAUUGCUAAUGCUAAUUAGAACAUUGCUGAUUGAAAAUGCAAAAUGCAUUUAAAUGUCAAACUGUGAAA